rnacentral:lncRNA from 13 species
CUCUUCUUCUUCCCCUGGGAAGCUCUGUUCAAGGCUCGGCCUGGCCCUCCCCUCUUUACAAAGCCUCGGGGUGGAGUUCAGUGCCCUCCUCGCCACUGGUUGAUUGGUUUGUGGUUUGGGAAGGGGCUGGGUCUUGGAGCCACAAGUGAGACACACAUGGAGGAGGCACGGUGGAGGGCAUGUGACCUCAUCACAUCCCAGAGGAGAAAAAUGUCUUUGUUUCUUUUUAAGACACAGGGUCUUGCUCUGUUGCCGAAGCUGAAGUGUAGUAGCUCGAUCAUGGUUCACAGCAGCCUUGAACUCCUGGACUCAAGCUAUCCUCCCACCUCAGCCUCCCGAGUAGCCAGGACUUACAGAUUUCAGGCCGGGCAUGGUGGCUCACACCUGUAAUCACAGCACUUUGGGAGGCCAAGGUGGGAGGAUCGCUUGAGCCCAGGAGCUUGAGACCAGCCUAGGCAACAUGGUGAAACCUCAUCUCUACCAAAAAUAUAAAACUUAGCCCGUCUCAUAACCCAGUCUCAAAAAAUAUAUAUAUAUAAAUAAAAAUGUAAAGAUAAGAUACUUUUUUAAAAGA